rnacentral:tRNA from 7 species
GCGGAAGUGGCUCAGUGGUAGAGCAUCGCCUUGCCAAGGCGAGGGUCGCGGGUUCGAACCCCGUCUUCCGCUCCA